UACGAAGGUGGCAAGCGUUGUUCGGAUUUACUGGGCGUACAGGGAGCGUAGGCGGUUGGAUAAGCCCUCCGUGAAAUCUCCAGGCUUAACCUGGAAAGUGCAGAGGGGACUGUUCAGCUAGAGGAUGGGAGAGGAGCGCGGAAUUCCUGGUGUAGCGGUGAAAUGCGUAGAUAUCAGGAGGAACACCGAUGGCGAAGGCAGUGAUCUGGGCCGGUACUGACGCUGAGGAGCGAAAGCGUGGGUAGCAAACAGG
rnacentral:rRNA from 1 species